rnacentral:miRNA from 1 species
CAAGUCAGGAGCCACUUGUGG